GACGAACGCUGGCGGCGUGCUUAACACAUGCAAGUCGAACGGAAAGGCCCUGCUUGCCGGGUACUCGAGUGGCGAACGGGUGAGUAACACGUGGGUGAUCUGCCCUGCACUUCGGGAUAAGCCUGGGAAACUGGGUCUAAUACCGGAUAGGAGCCAUUUUUAGUGUGAUGGUUGGAAAGUUUUUUCGGUGUAGGAUGAGCUCGCGGCCUUUCAGCUUGUUGGUGGGGUAAUGGCCUACCAAGGCGGCGACGGGUAGCCGGCCUGAGAGGGUGGACGGCCACAUUGGGACUGAGAUACGGCCCAGACUCCUACGGGAGGCAGCAGUGGGGAAUAUUGCACAAUGGGCGCAAGCCUGAUGCAGCGACGCCGCGUGGGGGAUGACGGCCUUCGGGUUGGAAACUCCUUUCGCUAGGGACGAAGCUUUUUGUGACGGUACCUAGAUAAGAAGCACCGGCUAACUACGUG
rnacentral:rRNA from 1 species